rnacentral:rRNA from 1 species
AACGAACGCUGGCGGCAGGCCUAACACAUGCAAGUCGAGCGGACAUCUUCGGAUGUUAGCGGCGGACGGGUGAGUAACGCGUGGGAACGUGCCCUUUGCUUCGGAAUAGCCUCGGGAAACUGGGAGUAAUACCGGAUGUACCCUUUGGGGGAAAGAUUUAUCGGCAAAGGAUCGGCCCGCGUUGGAUUAGGUAGUUGGUGGGGUAAUGGCCUACCAAGCCGACGAUCCAUAGCUGGUUUGAGAGGAUGAUCAGCCACACUGGGACUGAGACACGGCCCAGACUCCUACGGGAGGCGGCAGUGGGGAAUCUUAGACAAUGGGGGAAACCCUGAUCGAGCCAUGCCGCGUGAGCGAUGAAGGCCUUAGGGUUGUAAAGCUCUUUCACCGGGGAAGAUAAUGACGGUACCCGGAGAAGAAGCCCCGGCUAACUCCGUG